UACGUAGGGUGCAAGCGUUGUCCGGAAUUAUUGGGCGUAAAGAGCUCGUAGGCGGUUUGUCGCGUCUGCUGUGAAAACUCGGGGCUUAACUCCGGGCCUGCAGUGGGUACGGGCAGACUAGAGUGUGGUAGGGGAGACUGGAAUUCCUGGUGUAGCGGUGAAAUGCGCAGAUAUCAGGAGGAACACCGGUGGCGAAGGCGGGUCUCUGGGCCGAUACUGACGCUGAGGAGCGAAAGCGUGGGGAGCAAACAGG
rnacentral:rRNA from 1 species